GCUCUCGUGGUCUAGAAGAUAGGGCCCAGGUCUACGGAACCUGUGACGGUGGUGCAAUUCCAUCCGAGAGUACUA
rnacentral:tRNA from 1 species